UACGGAGGGGGCUAGCGUUGUUCGGAAUUACUGGGCGUAAAGCGCACGUAGGCGGCUUUGUAAGUUAGAGGUGAAAGCCUGGAGCUCAACUCCAGAAUUGCCUUUAAGACUGCAUCGCUUGAAUCCAGGAGAGGUGAGUGGAAUUCCGAGUGUAGAGGUGAAAUUCGUAGAUAUUCGGAAGAACACCAGUGGCGAAGGCGGCUCACUGGACGACUGUUGACGCUGAGGUGCGAAAGCGUGGGGAGCAAACAGG
rnacentral:rRNA from 1 species